rnacentral:rRNA from 1 species
UACGGAGGGUGCAAGCGUUAUCCGGAUUUAUUGGGUUUAAAGGGUGCGUAGGCGGUAUAAUAAGUCAGUGGUGAAAAUCUGCAGCUCAACUGUAGUUGUGCCAUUGAAACUGUAUUACUUGAGUAACCAUGAGGUAGGCGGAAUGUGUAGUGUAGCGGUGAAAUGCUUAGAUAUUACACAGAACACCGAUUGCGUAGGCAGCUUACUAGGGGUUUACUGACGCUGAUGCACGAAAGCGUGGGGAUCAAACAGG